UGAAUACGAGAUGCUACGGCGUCGAAGCAGUCUAUGUCAUACUUCCAAGAAAAGCUCGCACUGUCAUAAACAAAUAAUGCCUGUACCAUAACCGACACAGGUGGGUAGGUAGAGUAUACUAAGGGGCGCGAGAUAACUCUCUCUAAGGAACUCGGCAAAAUGACUCCGUAACUUCGGGAGAAGGAGUGCCUUAUUUAUAAGGUUGCAAUAACAAGAUCCAAGCAACUGUUUAUCAAAAACACAGGUCUCCGCUAAGUCGUAAGACGAUGUAUGGGGGCUGACGCCUGCCCAGUGCCAGAAGGUUAAAGAAGUUGGUUAGCAUUCGCGAAGCUGAUAACUGAAGCCCUGGUGAACGGCGGCCGUAACAAUAACGGUCCUAAGGUAGCGAAAUUCCUUGUCGGGUAAGUUCCGACCCGCACGAAAGGCGUAAUGAUUUGGAUACUGUCUCGGAGAGGGGCUCGGUGAAAUAGACUUGUCUGUGAAGAUGCGGACUACCUGCACCAGGACAGAAAGACCCUAUGAAGCUUUACUGUAACUUGAGAUUGAAAUUGGACUUUACUUGCGCAGUAUAGGUGGGAGGCGUUGAUAAUAUUCUUGCGGGAUUAUUUGAGCCAUCAGUGAGAUACCACUCUUGUAAUGUUAGAUUUCUAACUUUGUAUCAUUAUCUGGUCAAAGGACAGUUUCAGGCGGGCAGUUUGACUGGGGCGGUCGCCUCCUAAACGGUAACGGAGGCGCACAAAGGUUUCCUCUGAACGGGUAGAAAUCGUAUCUAGAGUGUAAAGGCAUAAGGAAGCUUGACUGUGAGACCUACAAGUCGAGCAGGGACGAAAGUCGGUCUUAGUGAUCUGACGGUGCUGAGUGGAAAGGCCGUCACUCAACGGAUAAAAGUUACUCUAAGGAUAACAGGCUGAUCUCCCCCAAGAGUUCACAUCGACGGGGAGGUUUGGCACCUCGAUGUCGGCUCAUCGCAUCCUGGGGCGGUAGUACGUCCCAAGGGUUGGGCUGUUCGCCCAUGAAAGCGGUACGCGAGCUGGGUUCAGAACGUCGUGAGACAGUUCGGUCCAUAUCCGGUGUAGGCGUUAGAAUAUUGAGAGGAGCCUUCUUUAGUACGAGAGGACCGAGAAGGACAUACCUCUGGUGUACCAGUUAUCGUGCCAACGGUAAACGCUGGGUAGCUAUGUAUGGAGUGGAUAACCGCUGAAAGCAUCUAAGUGGGAAGCCCACCUCAAGAUAAG
rnacentral:rRNA from 1 species